UGAGACCGGCGCACGGGUGCGUAACGCGUAUGCAAUCUACCUUGUACAGAGGGAUAGCCCAGAGAAAUUUGGAUUAAUACCUCAUAGUAUCUUCGGAAGGCAUCUUCUGAUUAUUAAAGUUCCAACGGUACAAGAUGAGCAUGCGUCCCAUUAGUUAGUUGGUAAGGUAACGGCUUACCAAGACAAUGAUGGGUAGGGGUCCUGAGAGGGAGAUCCCCCACACUGGUACUGAGACACGGACCAGACUCCUACGGGAGGCAGCAGUGAGGAAUAUUGGGCAAUGGAGGCAACUCUGACCCAGCCAUGCCGCGUGCAGGAAGACGGUCCUAUGGAUUGUAAACUGCUUUUAUACAGGAAGAAACCCUCCCACGUGUGGGAGCUUGACGGUACUGUAGGAAUAAGGAUCGGCUAACUCCGUGCCAGCAGCCGCGGUAAUACGGAGGAUCCAAGCGUUAUCCGGAAUCAUUGGGUUUAAAGGGUCCGUAGGCGGCCUUAUAAGUCAGUGGUGAAAUCUUCUAGCUCAACUAGGAA
rnacentral:rRNA from 1 species